rnacentral:rRNA from 1 species
AACGAACGCUGGCGGCAUGCCUAACACAUGCCAGUCGAACGGAACCUUCGGGCUUAGUGGCGGACGGGUGCGUAACGCGUGGGAACUUGCCCUUUGGUUCGGAAUAACUCCCUGAAAGAUGUCCUAAUACCGGAUAAUCUCUUCGGGGCAAAGAUUUAUCGCGAUUGGAUGGGCCCGCGUUGGAUUAGCUAGUUGGUAGGGUAAUAGCCUACCAAGGCGACGAUCCUUAGCUGGUCUGUGAGGAGGACCAGCCACACUGGGACUGAGACACGGCCCAGACUCCGACGGGAGGGAGCAGUGGGGAAUAUUAGAGAAUGGGGGAAAGCCUGAUCCAGCAAUGCCGGGGGAGAGAUGAAGGCCUUAGGGUUGUAAAGCUGUUUGACCCGGGAAGAUAAUGACGGUACCGGGAGAAGAAGCUCCGGCUAACUCCGUG